UGAAUGUUGUGGAAAAGUGAAACCAGUCAAGUCAGUCUGAAACCAAUAACUUAGCUAGUUAGACAGCCGGUAUCAUCACUAGCUAGGGUUUACAUAUAGUUAGUACCCGCGAUGUCUGGUCACGGCUGCUGUGAAGACGAGCACGAGCCAGCGGAACGGGGCCUGGAGUAUGCACUUUAUCGGCGCAUUGACAUCGAGAAACUGCAGUGCCUCAACGAAGCAAGAGAAGGCGAUGGGAAACUCGUACUUAAACCAUGGGAUCAACGGACAGACAGGGAGAAGUUUGUUGAGAGUGAUGCUGAUGAAGAGCUCCUGUUCAACAUCCCGUUCACCGGAAGGGUCAAGCUGAAAGGGAUCGUCAUCGCCGGUGAAUCGCAUCCUGCUGAAAUGAGACUGUGAAUACAAGAACAUACCCCACAUGUCCUUUGACACAUGCAGAGAACCUGAGUAAGUCUUCCGUCUCAAUAGAGAUCCACUGGCUCAGCUGGAAUACCUAACUAAGCUCAUAGGCAUGAACUGACCAUCUGCAACUACGACGUGUCGGCUAACCCCGCAGACCAUAAAGUCGACAGCAUCAUCCCACAAACAAAUGUCAUCUCCUGAGAGAAAGGAGGGGCGGGAUAGUUGCAUUGACAGAGAUGGGUCAAAAGGAAGUGUGUACUUAGGCCUGGUGGGUGAACUUUCUCAUUGGAGGUCAGGUAUGCCUAAUACUAAACAUAAGUGUCUAAUCUGGAUUUUCUCAGUUACACUUAUUGUACCACCGAGUGGAGCCUGAAAGAAGUACGUUUUCGUUUGGUAAAUUAAUACAUUUAAUGUCAGUUGCUGGUAACCCUGUGAUAAAGCAUCACGGUGCUUUUAUCUAAAACUAUAUCUGGUCGCUGUCUGCCACCUAGUGGUUUGUUGUAAUAUGACAACUUGUCUCAGCAAAAUUGGUAUGACUCAAAUCCCCUGCAGUGGGAGCUCACUCACAUUAUUUCAGCCAAGCUCUGAAUGGCAUGGUAAUAAUGUGACUAUGUAGACAUUUUGACACAACCAAAGUAGAUCAGCAUAAGGUUUUCAUUUGAUUAGACUCAUAUACACACACUUACUUUAGGGGUGAGUUGCUUACUAUACCACACAGCUUUCUUUGACACCCACCAAACACAAAAGCUAUUUAACUCAUGAUUUCAUUGCAUUAUUAAUGUGGUGUCACAUUGCGGUCUAUGACCGCCAGUGGCUGAAUGUGAUGGCUUGGUGCGACAUAUUGGAGUUGGGAAUUUGCUAUAUGCGUAGGCUGAGAAAUAGAAAAUGUCCUCGGCUGUUGUGUGUAAUGUAAUUAUUUGAACAAUAAAGAUGCGUUACAUAAUA